AACGAACGCUGGCGGCGUGGAUAAGACAUGCAAGUCGAACGGGACAGACCGAGUAGCAAUAUUUGGAAUGUUCAGUGGCGAACGGGUGCGUAACACGUGGAUAACAUUCCGGAAAGCGGGGAAUAGCCCAGGGAAACUUGGAUUAAUACCGCAUGUGGCCGCAAGGCUAAAGACGGGGACCGCAAGGCCUGUCACUUUCCGAUUGGUCCGCGGCCUAUCAGCUAGUUGGCGGGGUAAUGGCCCACCAAGGCUACGACGGGUAGCUGGUCUUAGAGGACGACCAGCCACACUGGAACUGAGACACGGUCCAGACACCUACGGGUGGCAGCAGUCGAGAAUCUUUCACAAUGGGGGCAACCCUGAUGGAGCGACGCCGCGUGGAGGAUAAGGUCUUCGGAUUGUAAACUCCUGUCAUGCGAGAACAAGGUACUCAGGCUAAUAACCUGAUUGUUUGAUGGUACCGCAAGAGGAAGAGACGGCAAACUUCGUGCCAGCCGCCGCGGUAACAC
rnacentral:rRNA from 1 species